AUUGAACGCUGGCGGCAGGCCUAACACAUGCAAGUCGAACGAGUGGCGGACGGGUGAGUAAUGUCUGGGAAACUGCCUGAUGGAGGGGGAUAACUACUGGAAACGGUAGCUAAUACCGCAUACCAUCGGAUGUGCCCAGAUGGGAUUAGCUAGUAGGUGGGGUAAAGGCUCACAUGGGCGACGAUACCUAGCUGGUCGGAGAGGAUGACCAGACACACGGGAACUGAUACAGGUUCCAGACUCCUGCGGGAGGCAGCAGUGGGGAAUAUUGCACAUUGGGCGCAAGCCUGAUGCAUCCAUGCCGCGUGUAUGAAGAAGGCCUUCGGGUUGUAAAGUACUUUCAGCGGGGAGGCGUUACCAGAAGAAAAAGCACCGGCUAACUCCGUGCCAGCAGCCGCGGUAAUAC
rnacentral:rRNA from 1 species